rnacentral:rRNA from 1 species
UACGUAGGGGGCAAGCGUUGUCCGGAAUUAUUGGGCGUAAAGCGCGCGCAGGCGGUCGUUUAAGUCUGGUGUUUAAGCCCGGGGCUCAACCCCGGUUCGCAUCGGAAACUGGAUGACUUGAGUGUAAGAGAGGAAAGUGGAAUUCCACGUGUAGCGGUGAAAUGCGUAGAGAUCGGGAGGAACACCUGUGGCGAAGGCGGCCCCCUGGGCCGGCCCUGACACUGAGACGCGAAGGCGUGGGGAGCGAACGGG